AGCCCAGAGCCUGAAUCAGUGUGUGUGUUAGUGGAAGCGUCUGGAAAGGCGCGCGAUACAGGGUGACAGCCCCGUACACAAAAAUGCACAUACUGUGAGCUCGAUGAGUAGGGCGGGACACGUGGUAUCCUGUCUGAAUAUGGGGGGACCAUCCUCCAAGGCUAAAUACUCCUGACUGACCGAUAGUGAACCAGUACCGUGAG
rnacentral:rRNA from 1 species